UGGGCAGAGAGAGCUGCAGUGGGGUUGUGAAGUAUGAUUGGUUAUAUACUGUGGGAUUGGGGGAGGUAAAAUCAAGAGAAAUUUCAAAAAGGAUUAUCAU